rnacentral:rRNA from 1 species
CCUACGGGAGGCUGCAGUGAGGAAUAUUGGUCAAUGGGCUUACGCCUGAACCAGCCAAGUCGCGUGAGGGAAGACUGCCCUAUGGGUUGUAAACCUCUUUUGUCAGGGAGCAACGCCGGCUACGUGUAGCCGGACUGAGAGUACCUGAAGAAAAAGCAUCGGCUAACUCCGUGCCAGCAGCCGCGGUAAUACGGAGGAUGCGAGCGUUAUCCGGAUUUAUUGGGUUUAAAGGGUGCGUAGGCGGAAUGCCAAGUCAGCGGUAAAAUCGCGGGGCUCAAGCUCGCUCCGCGGUUGAAACUGGCGUUGGUGGGUGGGCGAGGGGUAUGGGGAGUGCGUGGGGGAGCGGUG